rnacentral:rRNA from 1 species
UACCAGCACCCCGAGUGGUCGGGAAGAUUAUUGGGCCUAAAGCAUCCGUAGCCGGCCUUACAAGUCCUCCGUUAAAUCCAGCUGCUUAACAGAUGGGCUGCGGAGGAUACUAUAAGACUAGGAGGCAGGAGAGGCAAGCGGUACUCAGUGGGUAGGGGUAAAAUCCGUUGAUCCAUUGAAGACCACCAGUGGCGAAGGCGGCUUGCCAGAAUGCGCUCGACGGUGAGGGAUGAAAGCUGGGGGAGCAAACCGG